rnacentral:misc_RNA from 1 species
CACCUUUCUCUCUCUCUUUUCCCCUCUCGCUCACUCCUUCACAGCUACUCCCUUCUCCUCGACCAAUCGAGCCUUCUCUCUCUCCCUGCUAUUUUCCUCUUGCUGUCCUUCUCGCUCUUUCUCUUUGCCCCUCUACGAGUCGCCUGACGUUUCCCUCUCACACAGUCUUGCCCUUUCCGCGUGCAACAUCGAUUUACCCAUAAAAAUUCCCCGUGCUCAACUCUAUCACUCGUCUAUUACUUCCUGGCUGAUGUUCGACGUUUCCCAUUCCCGGAUUCACCGUUGUAAUACGCGACAAAGGCAAAAAGGAAUGCGGAGUAGGACGCUAGAUGUUUCUUUUGAGCGUGACACAGCUUCUGGGAAUUACUUGUAGUCAACAAAGCAGCGAUAUAUUGUACUUCAGUAGAGAGAUUUUCGUAGGGUUAUCGUGCUCGAGCACACGGAACGCAUAGGAUUGCACCGAUAGGAUUACCGAGUCGCAGAACAUCGGUUAUGUUACGGCUGAUAAUACCUACGAAUCGUGUAACGCACAGAGGGAUCUCAGAGGC